rnacentral:rRNA from 1 species
UACGAAGGGGGCUAGCGUUGUUCGGAAUCACUGGGCGUAAAGCGCACGUAGGCGGACUUUCACGUCAGGGGUGAAAUCCCGGGGCUCAACCUCGGAACUGCCUUUGAUACUGUUGGUCUUGAGUCCGGAAGAGGUGGGUGGAAUUCCUAGUGUAGAGGUGAAAUUCGUAGAUAUCAAGCGGAACACCGGUGGCGAAGGCGGCCUUCUGGACAGUGACUGACGCUGAGACGCGAAAGCGUGGGGAGCAAACAGG